GAUGAACGCUGGCGGCGUGCCUAACACAUGCAAGUCGAACGGAGAUUACGGACGGAAGUUUUCGGAUGGAAGCCUGUAAUUCUUAGUGGCGGACGGGUGAGUAACGCGUGGGCAACCUGCCCUAUACAGGGGGAUAGCAGCUGGAAACGGCUGGUAAGACCGCAUAAGUCGGUUAAAUCCCAUGAUUUGAUCGGGAAAUGAGCAAUCAGGUAUAGGAUGGGCCCGCGUCCGAUUAGCCAGUUGGCAGGGUAAAAGCCUACCAAAGCGACGAUCGGUAGCCGGACUGAGAGGUCGGACGGCCACAUUGGGACUGAGACACGGCCCAAACUCCUACGGGAGGCAGCAGUGGGGGACAUUGCACAAUGGAGGAAACUCUGAUGCAGCGACGCCGCGUGAGUGAAGAAGUAUUUCGGUAUGUAAAGCUCUAUCAGCAGGGAAGAUGAUGACGGUACCUGACUAAGAAGCCCCGGCUAACUACGUG
rnacentral:rRNA from 1 species